rnacentral:misc_RNA from 1 species
GUAGGUGAACCUGCGGAAGGAUCAUUAUUGAAAUAAACCUGAUGGGUUGUUGCUGGUUCUCUAGAGAGCAUGUGCACGCCUUGUCAUCUUUAUAUCUCCACCUGUGCACCCUUUGUAGACCCUGGAUUUUUUUUCAUGGUCUAUGUUGCUUCUUCAUAUACCCCAAUGUAUGUUAAUAGAAUGUUUGUGCUUAUAAAAUCUAUACAACUUUCAGCAACGGAUCUCUUGGCUCUC